UUCGCCGGGGCCCCUGCGGCGGGCGGUCCGUAUCCGCCCGGCGGUCCGUUAGGCGGUCCGUAUCCGCCCGGCGGUCC
rnacentral:tRNA from 1 species